rnacentral:rRNA from 1 species
CGAUUGAACGCUGGCGGCAUGCUUUACACAUGCAAGUCGAACGGCAGCGGGGGCUUCGGCCCGCCGGCGAGUGGCGAACGGGUGAGUAAUACAUCGGAACGUGUCCUUAAGUGGGGAAUAACGCAUCGAAAGAUGUGCUAAUACCGCAUAUCUCUCAGGAGGAAAGCAGGGGAUCGAAAGACCUUGCGCUAAAGGAGCGGCUGAUGUCUGAUUAGCUAGUUGGUGGGGUAAAGGCUUACCAAGGCAACGAUCAGUAGCUGGUCUGAGAGGACGACCAGCCACACUGGGACUGAGACACGGCCCAGACUCCUACGGGAGACAGCAGUGGGGAAUUUUGGACAAUGGGCGAAAGCCUGAUCCAGCCAUGCCGCGUGAGUGAAGAAGGCCUUCGGGUUGUAAAGCUCUUUUAGUCGGAAAGAAAGAGUCAUAGUAAAUAGCUAUGAUUUAUGACGGUACCGACAGAAAAAGCACCGGCUAACUACGUG